UACGGAGGAUCCAAGCGUUAUCCGGAAUCAUUGGGCUUAAAGGGUCCGUAGGCGGUUUUAUAAGUCAGUGGUGAAAUCCGGUAGCUCAACUAUCGAACGGCCAUUGAUACUGUAGAACUUGAAUUAUUGUGAAGUAACUAGAAUAUGUAGUGUAGCGGUGAAAUGCUUAGAUAUUACAUGGAAUACCAAUUGCGAAGGCAGGUUACUAACAAUACAUUGACGCUGAUGGACGAAAGCGUGGGGAGCGAACAGG
rnacentral:rRNA from 1 species